AUUACCAUUUCAUAACUUUGUACAGACCUUUAAGAGCAUUCUUUCUAUGGAAUUAAGCAAUAACUUAAGUUACUUUGUUAUAUUUCAUUAGACAAUAUCUAAAAGAUGACCAUUCAUAAAUGAAAAAUGUUGUCUUAGAAAUUUACAUGUAAUUUCAUAUUACUUGUUAUUCCAUAUGAUUUAUUUUACAGCAGCAAUGCAAUAUUGUCUAAUAGCAAUGUGUUUUUUUUUUCAGAUGCCCGCUCAUUCUAAGUUGAUUCAAGCUUUAGAAAAAUGUACUUUUCUAUUUUUUUAAAAAAAAAUCUCUAAUAUAAACCAAAAUUUUAAUGCUUUUAGCACUGCAAUGCCACACUUUUAUCUUAAUUUUACUUCAAAUAAAAAUUUUAAUGAUAUUUUAAAGAUAUUAAAAUCUAGAUAUGGUGGCUCACUAAUUAAAAGAGGUAAGAUUAGUUCCUCUAAUAUUAACGAUAUUCAAUAUAAUAAACUACCAUGUUUUAUUCUAGUUUGUAAUUCGGACUCUGAAAUCUCUAGGGGUCUUGGGUUCUAUACUGGGUCUGGAAUUAUCAUGACGGCUAAACAUGUUCUAAAAAAUAUGAAAAUAAUAAUGUAUUUGUCUUUUUCCCUACUACAAGUUAUUGUUUGAUUUACAAUAUAAACCCAAAUAAUAUAUUUUUUGAAAAAGAUGAUAUUGCUAAAAUUAAAUUGGAAGAAAAUUGUGAUCAACUUCCAAAUUUAACACCUAUAGAAGUAAGUAAAUUAUAUGAAAAUGAAGAAUCUUUUUAUUUUUAUAAGUUAAAUAGAGGGUAUUUCGAAAAAGUUAAAUGUGCUAAAAUAGAUUACGACAAAGAAGAACAUCUAAAAAGAAAAAUAAGCUUUAUCAUAAUGAAUUUGCUUUUGAUAAAACAGGAAACCAUGGAGAUAGUGGGACUCCCAUUUUUACAAGUUCUGAUAAAUGUGUUGGAAUCUAUGUUAUGUCGAAUAGAACAAAUUAACGAAAAAAAAGAGAUUACACAUUUAUGUGGAAUAGCGAUACGACUUGAAUUUUUUAAAAAAUUUGACAAAAAUUAAUUUUAAUGGUAAUUUUAUUAAUAGAAUCUCACAAUCUUUCAUCAAAAUUGGUAUAUUAUCCCCAUCCUCACCCCACCCCCCCCCCGCUGACCGUGGCAUGGUGGCUCAGUGGUUAGCACUGUUGCUGCACACAGCAAGAAGGUCCCUGGGCCUUUCUGUGUGGAGUUUGCAUGUUCUCCCAUGUCACUAUGCCCAAAGACAUGUAGGUUAGAUGAAUUGUAGAGUCUGGCCAUCCCACAAACUUGGACUCUAGAAGGCUGUAUAAGGAGAGCAACACUGACGAUGGUGUGGAGAGGGUCCUGCCCAAAACAAAACUUAAGCACCUCCAGACUACAUACGUCACUUUUGGGUCAAAAGAUUGUCUUGGCUAAUGCAAGAUAUGUUUGAGUUUAAACAGGAAAUACUCUGGAGCACGAAACUUUCUGCACCUUUACACCGUCAUUCAGUGUCAUGUUGAUCCAUCUCCAGAUGACAUCACCAAUUUGCCAUUUCUGGGUCAAACCACACCUAGAUCUCCCCUCGUGAAAUUCAAAAUUGUGAGAUUCCAAAUAAAUUAUAAAAAUUA